GGAUCGAAAACAGUAAACGGUAACGUACUUAUCGAACAGACGCUAUAGAAAUAUUUAUUUUCGAAAACGUGUAUGAUUAUCAUAUAAAAUUUUUAUAUAAUAUUAAAAUGAGCCAACGUCGAAGACGCGCUGACGAUUUUACAGAUUCCUUAAACAGCUUUCAAAAUAUAACUGAAUCAGUGACUAAUUCCAAUACACUUUAUUCGAUAUCUCAGGACAGUUUAGAUGACUGUAAAAGUGUAAGUAAUCACACACGUGAUGAUGGAAAUCACAGUGCUAAACAUUCCAUUAUUUUAUCUGGCAAUUCUACAAAGCAUUUACAUAAGCAAGAUUCAUUUAUGUCAUCUGUGAUAACAUAUCCAUCUACUCCGUCCAAACUAGAUUUAAAUAAACGUAUUGAUUCAGUCGAAACCGAACAACUGUGUGACAGAAUUCAUAAUCAUAAAACAUGUGAUAAUUCACAGUGUUCUCCAAAGAAUGAACAAUUAAAAAGCAAUGUUAUAUCUAUUUCACAUAAUGAAUCAGAAAAUAAUAUGAAGAAUGAAGAUUCACAAAGAGAUACUAAUUAUAAUGUCCAUACAAACAAGUCUGAUAUAAAUUGCUCAAAUGAAGACCAUGUAAACAGUGAAGUAAAGAAAUUUGAAAACAUACUUUGUUCUUUAGACAAUGAACUUAAUAAAAUGAAAGAAAGCUCAAAAUCAAAAAUUUUAAAACGUUUGUCUAACCAGUUUAUGAAUUCACCACAAAAUUUUACUGAAAAAUUAUUAACUAUUAUUGAAGAAUCUGUUGUCAAUAAUGAUAGUGAUGCAUGUAAUUCAUCUGCAUUAAAUUUGAGUAGAUUGACCACAGAAUUCAGAAAGAUGUGUAAGUUCAUUGAAGAUGAAUCUGCUCCUGAAUGGGUUUUGUCUCCACCUUCUAUAUCUCAGUGCCCAAAACAAGUCUUUACAAGUCCUACAUGUGAUAAACAAAAUUCUGUCAAUACUCCUAAAACAGAAAUAUUAAUAACUUCACCUCUGAAUAUGUCCACACCUAUUACACCCAUAUCUGGAAUAGAUGUAAUGAGAAAAAGAUUUUUCAACAAAAUAUCUAAAAAUAAUUGUAGUGGGAGUGUUGACAGUGUAGUUAAUAUGUCAGGAAAUGAAUCUAGUAUUACAUCUUUUGAACGUCUGGAAGCUCAAUGUAGAAGAAUGUUUCCCGAAGAAAUGGAAAAAUCUAAAUUGUUACAUAAAAGUUUAUCAGUACCCUCUUUGUUAAAUAUGAAUCAAAUUAACCACAUAUGUGAAGAACAAAUGGCUUUGUUGAAUAUAUCUGAUGCUGCUGAUAAAACUCUCAGAAAAAAUGCAGUUGCUAGUAGCCCUAAUUUAUUCUAUAAGUGUCAAAAUUCUAAAAAAUUAGAAUCUGAUUGCUCAGAUUUACAGCAAGAAACAUAUAACAAAUUUAAAAAUGCUCAUCAUGAUAAGGUAUCAUAUUCUAAAAAAAGAUCUAUAAAAUUAAGUGAAAAAUUUGAUAUCAAUAAAACGCAAUCUGAUAAAACUACAAGUGGUUAUGUGAUAGUUGACCCGGAUGAAUUAGAAAAAACACUACUACAAGAUAUAGCAGAAAAAAGAAAAAGGUGUCUUGAUACAGCCAGACUUAUUACAGAAAUUAAUGCAGAUCCUACAUCAGUAGAAGCACAAAGAUCAUUACGUAUGUCUCCUCUGUUUGCUGAUGAUAAUGAGUCAGAUUCAUUGACUAUAGAUGAAGCUAAAUUUCUCAAAACUUUAAUGUCUUGUAAAGAUUAUCAAUCAUAUCUGGAGAAGCAAAAACCUUUCUUUAAAUUACUUCAAGAUUCAAAUUUUAAUACUUCUAACAGUACACUUGAAAAUAAUAAAAGUCCUGAUAUAAAAUAUGCAACUCCAGUUUCUAAAGAAGGGAAUUUUAAUGUGAAGAAGUCAAGUCCAAAAGUAUCCACUCUUAGUACAAACGCGAAAUCUUAUAGUCCAUAUAAAUUACUAUCCAAGGAAAAAAGUAAUGAAAAGGAGACAAAAAAAGAAAAUAUAAAACCGAAACUUUUUGUUACACCAGGGAAAACCCCUCCAAGCCAAAAUUGUAAAAGAAAAAAGACAUAUUUUCCACCUGUGAGCCCUGCAAAAAAUACAAUGGAAAGACAUAUUCUGAAGAGUCCUCAUGCAGAAGGAUUGUAUAGGUUGAAUUAUAACACUAUAAUUUCUCCAGUGGGAAUGUACAUUAGAGGUACAGAUAUGAAGCUAAUAAAAAAUGUACGUCCUAAAAGAGAUAAUUUGUUACUGACUCCUGUAAGAAAAAAUCUCAAAUCAACUCCAAAUAAAAAUUUAAAACAAAGUACACCUUUAAAAGAAAGAAAUGAAACAUGUGAAAAACCAACAUUGAAAAUCACUUUAUCUCCAAAAGUGAAAACAAAUAUACAUACACCACAGGCAAUUGCAAAUAAUAUACCAGAAAAUUACAAUACACCUAAAAGUCAUUUUGUACUCCCAAAAGUUUCAUACAAAAUGCCUUUACAAGUUAAGACAAUAAAAGAAAGCAGCUCCCCUAAAACAGGUGCACGGGUUAAAAAAUUGCUGGAGUGUGCACAAAGCAAGGUUGUUAUUCGUCAUCAAGCCCGUGCUAAUACAGUUCAAAAACGGCAUAACACUGCUCAGGAUGGUGUAUAUGAAAUUCAUUAUGAACCUGAGAAUGAAUCUGUUCAUAUUGAACAGGCAGCUAAUAAGACAAACUUUAUAGGCAAACGAAAAAAUAUUUAAAUAACAAUUAAAUGUUCGCAAUAAGUUAAAUAUUUUAUAUUUUUAUUAAAAGUGGUAUAAAGUAUUGUGAAGGGUAAUAUCGAUAAAUAAAAAUCUCAUGAUAUUGUUUAUUUCUGUUCUAAGUUUUAAAAGAAUAUAAAUGAAAUUUGUAACUUUUACUCCUUAUUACAUACAUUGUACAUAAACGUAAAAUUUCCUUAACUUUGCUUUCAAAUAAAUUCUAAAAUUAAGUGCAAUUAUUUGAUGCAAUGAGAAUUAUUGAGUUAUUACUUUAAGCGGAAUUUCUAGAAUUUACUCGACGCUAUUACGUUAGAAUCUGCGUUCUUAUCUCAUUAUUAUUGUGUCACGUGUUGCACUUAAAGGACCGUAGAAUUUCUUUACGGGCCUUGUACCGUAAUCAAAGAAUAAAAAAUUGAGUUCGAAAAAUCAUGUGUAACAUAUUUAUCCAGUUUUAUUAUGUGUGUUGUAAAUUAUAAGAUAUCGACAAAACUAAGUAGGUGUAUAUGAUUUAAUUAUUUAUGAUGUGGAAUGUACGUGGGGUCUGGUAAGAGAAGUACACUCCUGCUUUGCGCAUGGCACACAUAAUCUACGUUGCACACGUCGUCGAGGUGCAGCAGAUCAUGGAAGGGGGUAAUCGAUAAAUUCGAAGGAGCUCAACAGAGUUCCGAAGUAAUCAUCAAGCUACCAUUGCUGACGAAAGCCUACGUACGACGUAAUCAACUACAAACGAAAAUGCCGGGACCAAACUGUGAACAAUGCAGCGGCAAGUGCAAAGACUGCAAGUGCGACGACAAAUGCAAGUGUGCUUCCGAAACUGGAUGCGGAGAUAAAUGCAGUUGCUCGUCUGGCGGACAAUGCUCUUGCAAAAGCCCCUGUAACUGCUAAACAGGACCGAGUCUACCAAUAAAGAGAUAAUCAUCGCUAAGAAUGGACGUUACGACGAACAUUGGAUGUCAUUAUCUACAAGUGCUUAGUAACAGUAUUUCUGUGCGCUUCUGUCAUUACUAAACAAUCGCCAAUUACAUUCAAGCAUUUAAAUUACAUGUUUCAUUUAAAAAAUAGGCUAUAGUAUUAUAUGCAAACUUGUUAAUAAAAAUGGACUAAUUUAACAAAUAUAAAA